UGGGGAAUCAUGGUCAAUGGGCGAAAGCCUGAACCUGCGACGCCGCGUGAGUGAUGAAGGUCGUAAGAUCGUAAAACUCUUUUCAGGGAUCUUAAAGCACAACCGUCAACAACGGCUGUGUGUGACUCUCCCUGGAAGAAGCCCCAGCCAACUACGUGCCAGCAGCUGCGGUAAUACGUAGGGGGCGAGCGUUAUUCGGAAUUACUGGGUGUAAAGGGUAUGUAGGCGGCCCUUCAAGUCGCGUGUCAAAGUCCAGUGCUCAACGCUGGGUGUGCACGCGAUACUGACGGGCUUGAGGGCUGGAGAGGUGAGCGGAAUUCCCGGUGUAGUGGUAAAAUGCUUAGAUAUCUGGAAGAACACCGGUAGCGAAGGCUGUUGCCUGGCCUGGUAUUGACGCUCAGGGACGAAAGCGUGGGGAUCGAACA
rnacentral:rRNA from 1 species